CCUACGGGUGGCUGCAGUGGGGAAUAUUGCACAAUGGGCGCAAGCCUGAUGCAGCCAUGCCGCGUGUGUGAAGAAGGCCUUCGGGUUGUAAAGCACUUUCAGCGGGGAGGAAGGCGUUAAGGUUAAUAACCUUGGCGAUUGACGUUACCCGCAGAAGAAGCACCGGCUAACUCCGUGCCAGCAGCCGCGGUAAUACGGAGGGUGCAAGCGUUAACCGGAAUUACUGGGCGCAAAGCGCACGCAGGCGGUCUGUCAAGUCGGAUGUGAAAUCCCCGGGCUCAACCUGGGAACUGCAUUCGAAACUGGCAGGCUAGAGUCUUGUAGAGGGGGGUAGAAUUCCAGGUGUAGCGGUGAAAUGCGUAGAGAUCUGGAGGAAUACCGGUGGCGAAGGCGGCCCCCUGGACAAAGACUGACGCUCAGGUGCGAAAGCGUGGGGAGCAAACAGGAUUAGAUACCCUUGUAGUC
rnacentral:rRNA from 1 species